rnacentral:lncRNA from 1 species
AUUCCCCUGUACGCGGACAGAGUCUCCCCAGUACGUCCAAGGCGUCGCAAUCCAAACAAUCAACGAAUGUUCCAACAAGGAACGGAUAUCAAUCCAGAUUGCAUAAGGAAGUAUCAAAUACAUAAUCUACUUGCUAUUACAAGCAUUCAUUUUACAACCACUCUUUACAUCACAGUUUCAGUUUACAUUUUAACUUCCAAAUUACAAUCUCAUUAUUACAUCAGAGUUUACAAGUUUGAUACAUUUUCUUUUCUUGUCUUCUAGUCCCCCUAAGCUAGACUGUCUCAAGGUACUGCUAUCUCGGUCUCUGUGGUGGGGCGCUAUCUACUGAGCUACGCCCUCGCCUCGCGCCGCCGCGCCGCACACGAACGACCUGAAAACCCCAAAACAACGUGGGGUGAGAACCAACUCCAUGGUUCCCAGUGGGUACGGCCACCCAAGGGAAAAGCUCGACCGAUAGGUCCGAGGAGGCACUACAAUAUGUUAGUUCAACAAUAUACAACAGAUAUAUAUAUUCAAUUGAAAUACAUGCCAUGCCUCACGAUAUGCGAUAUGAAAAUCAUGCAACAACUAGUAGAUCAUUUGAAUUCUAUUUUUACUUGGCUACUUUAGCUCACAACUUUACUCUAAGGUUUCCAUUACCUUAGGAUCACAACACUAACCACUAGCUUCUAAGGUUUCUAUUUACCUUAGCUCAAGCCUCUAUCUCUAGCUCAUAAGGGUUCCUCUACCCUAUCAUAGCUAACCACCCGACUCGGCUUCGAGUCAAUCAUCUGCGGAUAGUCCGCGCACUGGCUGCUCAACAGCCUAGCGCACUCUCUCUGACCCAGCCUCCUAGCGGCGAAAUCGUCGCACACGCUGAACACGGCUCGAGUCGCAUGACUUGACCAUCGGUGGCAAUCGCGUUGCACUUACCCAGCGUGAGCUCGAGACAUGACAUACCGUCUGGCGGCGAACGGGUCGCACCACACCCAACAACGGUCAUGUCAGACUCAGACACCUGGAGGCACCCGCAUCGUACUUACUCAGUAUGGAUUCAGUCUGCUCCGGCGGUCUGAUCCUCAAAUGGCUUAACCAUCCGGCGGCGAAAUCGUCGCACAAACGCCACGAGAAUGGUUCAAGCCCCGGGCGGUGAUCUUCAUGUGAUCGCCCCCAAUCUACCCAUGGUACCAAGCUCGGCGGCGAAGUCGUCGCACGAACGCCCUAGCCUGUACCAGAGACAUCAUAAGUCCUGGGAUUCCGGAAUCCACUUACCACAGGUCGAGGGUUCAUAGCCAACCCUAUACUGUCGACCUAGCUCAUCCUAGUGGCUAUACCACUAUACUCAUCAACCUAGGUUCCAAUACUCUAGGUUCUAUAUCCACAUCACUUAACCUAGAUACACUUGCUAGGUUCUUGUCAUCUUUGUCUAGAUGUCCACUUCUAGGUUUACUAGUUCAACCUAGGUUUACUAACACUAGGUCAGAUGCCACACACCUAGAUUGUUCGACUCUAGGUUUACUAAUCAACCUAUGUUCUUUAACACUAGGUUAGAUGCCACUCGAUCUAUCUGACAACCUAGUUGUCUAAUCAACUCUAUUUACUCUAGAGUUAUCAUGUUACUUACUUAGCUCUCAUGAUGCUACUUUGCAUUCUCUACUUUAACUAGCAUUAUAUACAUGCUAUGCUCAUUAUGCUCUCUACUUAGCAUUUCCAUCUAUGCAUAAUUAGUACAUGCAUUCUUUACGUUAACUAGCAUUAAUUACUUAGCAUGCUUUCUAUUUAGCAUUUUCAUCUUAUAUUAAUCAUGCUCUCUACUUAACAUUUACUAGUAUGGCUCUAUGCAUCAUUAUUUAACAUGCAUUUACACUAUGCAUUAUUAUAAUCAUGCAUUCCAAUUACUUGCUUGCAUUAUUUAUUUAUCAUGCUCAUCAUGCAUUCUUUACUUUUCUUGCAUUUACUCUAUGCAUUGUUAUUAACAUGCAUUUACUUUACAUCAUGCAUUAUUGUUAACUUGCAUCCUUUACUUAGCCUUUACCUUAUGCAUAUUUAUUAAUGCAUCAUUUAGUCUUGUCUACAUGCACAUGCAUCAACGUGAGAUUACAUUGCUAAGAUAUAAAGGGCGACCUAGUCGCUUCGGUAAGCACAACCCACCUUGAUUCGCGUUCUGAUUGCUUGUCGACACUUACAAUCGGCCUCCCGCGGCACUCGGCACCCGUUUGGGCCCGAACUCUUGCGCGACUUAACGAACGACCUCCGAAUCGCGAUCCGUCUUUUCCAGUGCUUAUUCCUUGACUCCAAGAUCCUCCGGUUCCGAUCUCACGAUUUUUAGACACUUAUUCCGCGUGCUGCAGCUAUCUGUACCAAAACCGACCGUUUCGUCAAUAACUUCGCGUGCACUCGUCGGAUUGUCGAACCGAGCGUUUCAAUGCGUUCGUUAGGUCCCCAAUUAGGUUUCCAAGCGGUCAAAAUAGAUCAAAACCCCAUAUGAGCAAAACCCUUCUUUGGGAUGCCCUAAUACGACAUAUGCUCAAUACUCCGAUUUCGAUCUAUAAAACAAGCAAAAGAGAGCUUGUCCAAGUUCUUAGAGCUCAUUUAUGACCAUUAGAAUCGUUCAUAGGGUGUUUAGAACAAACCCUAGAAAUCCACCAUUAGAGCCUCAUGAAGAACACCAUGGAUUUCAUGUGUUUUAGACCUCUACAAAGUUCUAAAGCUUGUAGGUAGAUCAAAACCAAAGAUCUAGGGUUUAAAACCCAUUCUACAAAAAUCUACCAUGAGAGGCUUGGAAGCUUACCUCUCCUAGAGCUCCAAGGGGGAGAAGAAGAUGAAGAGGAUGAUGAUGGUGAUGAUCCUCUUCCUCUCCUCCAUCUUCUCCUUCUUUUCUUCUUUUCUUUUCUUCUUUUCUUUUCUUGUCUUCUCUUUUUCCUUCUCUUUUCUUGCAACCGGUUGAGAGAAAAGGAGAGACAUGAGAGAGAGAGAGAGAGGGAGAGAUCUGCUGUGAGGGAGAGGGGUUUAGGGUUAUUACAUUAGGUAACAAUUGCAAAUAAACCCCUCCAAUCAUUUAUAAUUGCAGCAGACUAAUUCUAUGCUAUUCUGCCAAAGUGUACCGGUACACUUUCCCGUGUCACCGGUUUAACAGCCUUUUUCACUCAAACCCGAGAGCUGCUAUUCUUCGGGUCGCUUGUUGUACCGGUACAACCAUCAACUUGUACCGGUGCACAAUGCUCCAGACUUGGUUUUUAGCUUGUUUUCGUCUCUAUUUCGCGCCGAACAACGCUAAAAUCUUUCUAAUUCUUUUAGAACUCAUCUUAACCCCUCCAACCUUGAUAGAAUGUUUACUGGAACUCGUCUAUUCAUCUUAUUCGCAUGCUUUAGCCAAUUUGGCUAAAGCUCGAUAUUUCUUCCGAAACCUCGGGGGUUACAUUCUCCCCACCUUAAAAGAAUUUCGUCCGCGAAAUUCAAACCACAUCAACUCGGCCUACCGAGUUGUUGAGGGUACCAUCAUACCUUUCCACUCCGAUUCCGACCACCGGCAUUGCAUAUCAACCAUAUCAUUGGUGCAUCGGCCAAUCGCGAGUGCUUCAAUCUCAAUCGAAUCUUUGCCCUAUCACGAGACGGCACACUUCGGCACGUCUCAACCUCACUCCCCUGAGAGCAUUAUCCACUUGUUUCCACUAACUUGAGCGUACCAACUCCGAUUCUCAUGUGGCUUUCAUUAACUUGAGGCCUUAUAAGAGCACUUCGGUUUCUCUUUAUCCUUUAAAAUCAUAAGCCACGAUCAACGCCACUCUACUCCGGCUGUGAAUUUGCACGAACCCUUCGUUCGCAACUCGAGCUUAGGCUCAUUCACGGGGUCAUCGGUCGCUGCGGGUAGACCAACAGUCACCCACCCUACGUAGGCCUACCGACUAAACUUGUCUCAACGACGCCUAGCGUCUCUCGCUCGCAAGCGUAGACCCAAUCAUCAUUGGGCGACAUUCUCAUUGGAGAACUCGCACACACUCCAACCAGGAGCUAUCAAGACCCCAAUCCAUAUCAAAUCCUUGGGUUGGGUCACUACACAAUCGGUGCAUCAUUAAUCUCACGAUCUAUCACAUGGCAUUCCACGUACUCGGGUCUAAGCUCAGACUACCGUCCUGACCAAAACUCUCCGCCCUACCAAUAGAUAUCGGGCCGCUGUCUCUCACAGCUGACUGCGCCUGCCCAAUGGGCCCAGGCUCCACAGUCCACAAAUGGUCCAGGCACGGGUCGUCCCCAAGCACUACCCGCCACACGGGCACAACUUGUCCACCUCAACUCGAGGUACUACUAGGCCCACAGGCCAAACUCGGCACUAACCGACCAAUUUCGCGACAGUGGUUCAUCUUCGCUGUUCGAUCUACCGAAUCCGCUUCCGAGAUACUUUUGGGGAUAUGCGGGCGUUCCCAAACAUCAAGGUCCGACUCUCAAAAUUUCUAACUCAUUGUUUUGAGAGUCCUUUCACCACUCGGUUUCCAUUGCGAGCCUCGUUUCCUGUCCAACAUCACCACAAGCCAUUUGCUAGUACCAUCGGCUCUCUACUUGCACCAGCAGGUGCCACUUCUCACAAUGCAAGCAUGUACGGGCGUCUACUUACCCGACUAUUCGGUCCCUACUAUGCAAUGUAUAAAUAGUAGCAACUGAUCAAUGACGAAUGCAUGCUAUGCACCAACUUGAGGCUAUGCAAAGUAUGAUUGCUCAAUUAACUCAUACCUGCCACGACGUCAUCAGCAACGGCAGGCACAACAGCUCGGGUCGCUUAUCCAUGGCCACUUGGCGCCCGUCGCGAACCCUCUGGUUGCAUCACUCUCAACGGCCGCUCCCCCGACCAUGCUGCAGGUGGCACACCCGCCGGCUAUCCCAAGGAGGAAUGGGCCGUCGCCAGUGUCAAGGCCAGGUUAUCACCCUGUGGACACUCGUCCCGCACAUGGCCCGGCAGCCCACACUUGAAGCACUUGCCCUCUCGCUGUUCACAUUGCUGUGGAAAAUGAGGGCCUCCACAAAUUGCACAUCUCGCCGAGGACCGAAUGUGAUACGUCCCCGGAGCUCUAGAUCGAGAGCGCGUCCUCACUGAGGUCUGUUGGGAACUUGACUGACCAUCGUGUCCACUCACUGGCCGUUCUUUCCCUUUUUCCUUGUAGUGUUCCUCACGCUUCUCCCGCAGGAAAGCAUUGCCUUGUUCUAUCCACAAGGCCCGAUCCAGGACUUCAGAAAAAGUCUGCUUCCCAAGUCAUUGGAGGGAGACUAGGCAGUCGAUCUCGCUUGACGCCUUUCCACCACACCUUCGCCGAUUGUUUCAGGUAAUGUGCGGCUAGGUUCACUUUGUCUCGCUCCAGCGUAUACAGAUCCUCGAAGAGUGUUUCCAUAGAAUCGAUCCACAUCUCAACGACCCACGGAUCUGCAUCUUCACCAUCAAAGGUAGGCGGAUCAAACUUCUUGAAAGUCAUGAGGGCGGCUAAAGCUCGCUCCCUCUCCACCGCAACCUCUGGGCAAACAGGAGUCGGAUCACCCGACCCCGACGAAAACAGCUCCGCCGCAACUCCCAGCUGUCCUCGACCAGCCGCAGCCGGUGCUGCCACCAGCCGGUCCACAGUCUCUUGGAGUCAUUCCAUUCACUCCUCUUGGCGCAUAGCAGCCUCCUGCUGCCGUUGCACCACAUCAGCUUGUUGCCGCAUCACUCCAAUGAGUGUGGCCAACUGAUCGCGAAGCUCCGAGUCUCCGCUCGCAUCGGUUUGCUCAGGGACGCCACUUGUCCCCUCCUGCGUCGAUCUGGACGAAGAUCGCCUACGCGGUGCCAUCGUUUCCUGAAACACGACAACUCGAUUAGUCCUCGACCCUCCGGGUCGAACACGAGACCACUAACACAGGCUCAAAAGCCAAUCAGGCGAAAGUAAAACAAGGACGUCUAUUCUCGUCACUCGGCUUUAUGUUGUGCGCGCCCAACAUAAACACACUUGGUCGAGAAUAAACCAUACCUUGAGUCUACCUCUAACAUCCGUCUUAGAGGUUAUGACACAACCCAAUCGAUUAACCUUUCGCCAAAAGAAAUAAGUCCUCGUCUCUUACGAACAUUAAUCUCCUAUGACUUGCUAUCCUAGGGUCUCCUAGGUCUGUCUAAACCAUUUUUCUUAUUUUCUACUUUAUACUCUGAUACCAUCUUAUCUGUCACGCCCCGCGACCAACCGCCUAUUGGACCGGGUCGCGGCACCGACGACAGACCGCCGAACGGACCGGGAAUUCCCCUGUAGGCGGACAGAGUCUCCCCAGUACGUCCAAGGCGUCGCAAUCCAAACAAUCAACGAAUGUUCCAACAAGGAACGGAUAUUAAUCCAGAUUGCAUAAGGAAGUAUCAAAUACAUAAUCUACUUGCUAUUAUAAGCAUUCAUUUUACAACCACUCUUUACAUCACAGUUUCAGUUUAUAUUUUAACUUCCAAAUUACAAUCUCAUUAUUACAUCAGAGUUUACAAGUUUGAUACAUUUUCUUUUCUUGUCUUCUAGUCCCCCUAAGCUAGACUGUCUCAAUGUACUGCUACCUCGGUCUCUAUGGUGGGCGCUAUCUACUGAGCUACGCCCUCGCCUCGUGCCGCCGCGCCGCACACGAACGACCUGAAAACACCCCAAAACC